GAUCAGGCGGAGCAUGAUGCCAGGAUGAAAGUGGUGCUGCAACAGUUGAAUGCAGCCAACUUGCAGAUCAAUUGGAACAAAUGCGACAUGCGUCAAACACUUGUGAAAUAUCUGGGGCAUUGGUUGACUGACCAAGGAGUAUGUCCAGAUGCCGACAAGAUGUGAGUCAUGAAGGACAUGCUCUGUCUUCAAUCAGUUACUGACGUGCGACGGUUCUUAGGGAUGGCUACAUACCUCAGGAAGUUCAUCCCAACCCUCUCACAGGCCACCCAAUCACUUUGUGAAUUGGCCAAGAAGGACCCGUUUGUAUGUGACCAGGCAUUGGAGAAUGUAUUCAAUGAGUGAGAGAGAGAGAGAGAGAGAGAGAGUGAGAGAGAGAGAGAGAGGAGGAGGAGGAGAGAGAUGCUGGGAAUAGUGUUUGCUAUAACUCGAUUUUGCCAGUAUGUGUUAGGGCAAAAUGUGCAAGUAUUUGCAGAUCACAAGCCUUUCAUCCACAUCAUUUAUAAGCCCUUGAUGAGGUGCCUCCUCGUCUGCAGCGGUGGAUGGUGGCUCUAAUGCCAUACCAGUUUUCUCUCAGCUACAAGCCUGGGCAGCAUUUCUAGUAUGUGCUGAUGCUUUCUCCAGAGCACCACUACUUGAGCCAAGUCCAAUGCCUGAAGAGUGUUGGGGUUUUGGUGAGUAUAUCAGUAUGGUGCUAGAAGAAAGGAAGACUGCCUUCUGUCUAGUGUCAUGCAAAGAGUUCUUACAAAUGGAUGGAAUGAAUGCAGUCGAUCAGAAGAAUCCUACUACCUAGUGUGGGACCAGUUGACUGUUGUAGAUGACACCUUGCUCUUGGGUAACAGGGUUGUGAUUCCGGAGGCUCUUUGUAGAUCAGUUCUUUGCCUGGCUCAUUUGCCUGGCAUCUUGGACUAGAGGCUUUUCAGGACUCAUUUAAGGGCUCGUGUUUGGUGGCCAGGCAUCACAAAAGAUGCAAAUAUUUUUGCAGAGCGUCGUGAUGUAUGCUGGCGCCGGCGACCAAAUCCCCCUCAACAACUCCAGCCAUCCGACUUGGAAGCCGUAUGGAACAAAUUGGCAAUUGACCUUGUGACUAUUGAAGGGAUAUCAUGCUUAUGAAUUAUUGAUUAUGGAUCACUUUUCUUGAAGUACUCCUCUUAGAGGAUACCACGGCUAAAGGUGUGAUAAACAAACUGAUGGACACUUUGGCAUGCCCUCUGUUUUGGUGUCAGACAACGGUCCCCAGUUUAUUGCCAGUAAGAUGAACCACUUCUGAAACAAUUGGGUAUUCAUCAUGUGAAGGCAAGCCUACGGUAUCCUUAGUCAAAUGGAAUGGUGGAGAGGCUGCAUAGAGUCUUACGGGAGAGACUGAAGGGACUUAGGCCCUUAAUUCCUUUUCAUAGCCGCCUCCAACAAACAUUGAUGGACAUCUGCAGUUCAACUAACCGAAUGCUGAACACAACACCCCCGGAAGCACUGUUUCAAAGGAUCCUUCACACUCGAGUACCAGAUUACAGGACUUCUCUUAUGGUGAAUCCUGGACAUCAGUCUCAGGCGAAAGCUCACAUGUCAACCGACCAUGACCUUAGAAGAGGUGUGUGUCAGUUACCAAGACUAAAAUCUGGUACGGUAGUUAUCCUUCAAGACGGCUAUACUAAUCCCACCAAAUAGUGGAGAGUAUUGGACCAAUACGGCCAUCAAGUGGGUGUCACAGAUGGGCGACGUAUCAUGCUUAGGAAUAGGAGACAUGUAAAGCAAUACAUUCCAGAAAUGACAGUAACACUUCCUUCAGCAACUGAGGUCAAAGCAGUAAUGGGAACAGGCCACAAAGAGCCAACCAAGCACAGCUACUCCUAUGAAUCCUACAGGACAAGUACCAACAAAUCAGUUUAUGGAUGUUACCCAAGGACGGUCUGGUUAGUUUUUCGGACACUAGCUGCUGAGGCAGCUACUUCACAAUCAACUCUGGGACGCUCCCUUUUUAAGAAAGGAGUGGUAACAUGAUCCGGACGUCAAGUGCGGUUAUCAGUAAGACCCAAAGAGGCAGGCAUGUGAUGAACACUUCGUUGAGUUGAGUUGGGUUGGGUUUAAAUUUUUACAAGGGGGUAUUGUAGUAUUGUAGUGUGGGACUACGAGGAUGGGAAGCAUGCGCAGUCGAUGAGUGGUGUCUUUGGCAAUACUAUCUAAAUACAUCAGUUUUUCGGCCAUUCUACAUGUACCAUGUUUCUAUAAGUUAUAUAAUAACACACACACACACACACACACACACACACACACACACACACACACACACACACACACACACACACACACACACACGCAAACACACACACACACACACACACACACACACACACACACACACACACACACACGUGCACGCACACAUGCACACACAGCACAUGUUUGUGUAUGUGUGCAGUUUUUAUUGUUUUUUUGACAGUGGCCGAUGCACUCAAAUUUGCUUGUUGAUGUUUAUGCCUCGAUUACUGUGCAGCAAUGUGAUCACUAUUGUUGUAAAGUAACAUGAUUCCAUCUUGUUUGGUAGGAUGUACAAUGUGCUACUCAAGCUAUGCACUCUAUGCAAGGGUUUGUAAUGUUAGGCUCUGAGCGAGGAGGAAUUCGUAUUGAAUAUGCCAAAAACAGAAUGGGGGACAAAGAGCCUAUUCAAUCCUUCUCUGGAUCAGACGACUAGUCAGCUACAGCAACUUGAGCUAAGCUAGUGACAACUUACGGAAUGGUUUGGAGCAGUGUGUAGUGUGAAAGUUGCUCGAUUAGUGAAGCUGUGUUGCUGUGCUGAAAGCAGAUGUCUAUGUUCUAAAAACUUUAGCUAAUUUUUGUAUGUUGGUGAGAGUUAGAGAGGGUGUGCCGCUGUAGUUGUUCAUUUUGCCUAUUUAUUGAGGCUCUUGGAUUUGCUUGAGUGUAUACUAUUUAUUUGGGAGCGUUGAACUA